UUCGAUGAUGAAUCCCUUGAUAGGGACAACUUAUGCCACUGGCAUAUGACGAAACCCUGGGCUCAGUAUUUUAGUAGAUGCUUCGAGAUUCUGAUG
rfam:Thielavia terrestris NRRL 8126 chromosome 5, complete sequence.